rnacentral:rRNA from 1 species
CAAUAGCGUAUAUUAACGUUGUUGCAGUUAAAAAGCUCGUAGUUGGAUUUCUGGAGGGAGCGUCGGCCCGUAUUUACGAGUGCGUGACGUCUCUGUCCAUCCUUGCGGGAAGGCACGGCAUUGAUUUGUUGUGUCGGAUCGCAUCAUUUACUGUGAAAAAAUUAGAGUGUUCAAAGCAGGCUUUCGCUUGAAUACAUUAGCAUGGAAUAAUAAGAUACGACUCGAGUGGUCUAUUUUGUUGGUUUGCACAAUCGAGUAAUGAUUAAUAGGGACAGUAGGGGGUAUUCAUAUUUCAGCGUCAGAGGUGAAAUUCUUGGAUCGCUGAAAGAUGAGCUAAGGCGAAAGCAUUUACCAAGGAUGUUUNCAUUAA